AAUUGUACAUUGUGCAAAAUUCCAAAUACUCCAAACCGUAUACAGGUCUGUUUAUAUAUAGGUAUAUGGAUACGUACAAUGUAGCUCCUUUUUGUGAAAGCCCAUUAUUAUUGUUUCUUUAUAAUAUACGCGGGAAAAAGAAAACUCUUCGCUGCAUUGUCACGGAAAUUGUCACGUACAAAUUUAACGCGUAAAAUAUAUAUAGGCACACGGUUUUUCAUUUUGUAUGAUAAUAAGAAUGCAAAUU